rnacentral:rRNA from 1 species
UACGUAGGGUGCAAGCGUUGUCCGGAAUUAUUGGGCGUAAAGAGCUCGUAGGCGGUUUGUCGCGUCUGCUGCGAAAACGCGAGGCUCAACCUCGCGCCUGCAGUGGGUACGGGCAGACUAGAGUGCGGUAGGGGAGAUUGGAAUUCCUGGUGUAGCGGUGGAAUGCGCAGAUAUCAGGAGGAACACCGAUGGCGAAGGCAGAUCUCUGGGCCGUAACUGACGCUGAGGAGCGAAAGCGUGGGGAGCGAACAGG